AGAGUUUGAUCAUGGCUCAGAAUGAACGCUGGCGGCGUGCCUAACACAUGCAAGUCGAACGAGAAAGUCCUUCGGGAUGAGUAUAGUGGCAAACGGGUGAGUAACACGUGAAUUAUCUGCCCUUUAGUGAAGAACACCCUCGAGAAAUCGAGGUUAAUACUGCAUAAGCCUGAGGUAAAACUUAGGGAAAGCUGGCCUCUUUGCUAGCGCUGAAGGAUGAGUUUGCGGUCUAUUAGCUAGUUGGUAGGGUAAAGGCCUACCAAGGCAAUAAUGGAUAGCCGGCCUGAGAGGGUGUACGGCCACAUUGGGACUGA
rnacentral:rRNA from 1 species